GGAAUUUUGGACAAUGGGCGCAAGCCUGAUCCAGCAAUGCCGCGUGAGUGAAGAAGGCCUUCGGGUUGUAAAGCUCUUUUGUCAGGGAAGAAACGGUAGAGGCUAAUAUCCUUUGCUAAUGACGGUACCUGAAGAAUAAGCACCGGCUAACUACGUGCCAGCAGCCGCGGUAAUACGUAGGGUGCAAGCGUUAAUCGGAAUUACUGGGCGUAAAGCGUGCGCAGGCGGUUUUGUAAGUCUGAUGUGAAAUCCCCGGGCUCAACCUGGGAAUUGCAUUGGAGACUGCAAGGCUAGAAUCUGGCAGAGGGGGGUAGAAUUCCACGUGUAGCAGUGAAAUGCGUAGAUAUGUGGAGGAACACCGAUGGCGAAGGCAGCCCCCUGGGUCAAGAUUGACGCUCAUGCACGAAAGCGUGGGGAGCAAACAGGAUUAGAUACCCCAG
rnacentral:rRNA from 1 species